AGCAGCCGCGCCAGCCUCAUGCCGAGUCCCGCUAGAGAAGCCACAGCCAGUACGCCAGGUUUCCCCGCGCCUCUGCCGAGUGGGUUGAAGGCAAAUACUUGAAGUUGCAAUCGAAGGUCAAGAAAAUGGAAUCAAGAGGUCACAAUCCUUCUCUGAUGAUGGCUUAGAAAGCUGGAAGACACUCAACAUUGAAUCCUGGGGCUCUGUGCCAUGCUUGCUAGGAGAAACAGCCACCAUGAGUCCAUCUUUCAGAUCUCAAGUGAACAGUCAUUCUCCAGCUGGGAUUGAGAACAAGGGGAAGCUGGCCAUAGAGCCAGGUGACCAAAGAUGGAAGACAAAGGGUGGGCUGUGAUUCCCAGAGCUCCAAGCCUUGUUCUGUCUUGUCACACCAACUGUUACUGAUGAACAGCCACACAAAGAAUUGCUUUCUACACUCGACAAAAUGCCGGCUGCAUCAAAAAGCAAAGCAAAAGGCCACAGCUCCCCCUGUGCACGAAGUCAUAAUCCAUCCACUCUAAGAAUGCUUCGUGCAAGGUCUGCAGGUCCCAUGGAGAGACCACACAGCAGGAGACGACCCCACAGAAGGGGAGACGGAGAAACCACCUGCAG
rnacentral:lncRNA from 1 species